CGACGUGAGGAACCUGCCUUUCAGAGGGGGACAACAGUUGGAAACGACUGCUAAUACCGCAUAGCGCAUGGGUAUCGCAUGGUAUCUGUGCCAAAGAUUUAUCGCUGAGAGAUGGCCUCGCGUCUGAUUAGCUAGUUGGUGAGGUAACGGCCCACCAAGGCGACGAUCAGUAGCCGGACUGAGAGGUUGGCCGGCCACAUUGGGACUGAGAUACGGCCCAGACUCCUACGGAAGGCAGCAG
rnacentral:rRNA from 1 species